rnacentral:rRNA from 1 species
ACGCUCGACACCUACGGGAGGUAGCAGUUGGGAAUAUUGGACAAUGGAGGAAACUCUGAUCCAGUGACGCCGCGUGAAGGAAGAAGGUCUUCGGAUUGUAAACUUAUUUUGUCAGGGAAGAAAAAAUGACUGUACCUGAAGAAAAAGCACCGGCUAAACUACGUGCCAACAGCCGCGGUAAUCUGAGCGGGCUGGCAAGGC